UCAACACAAUCAAAAUCUCGGAGGCAGGUGCUCACAUGUCCUCCUCCAUGCCUACACAUACAUGGAGGAGGCCAUAGUGGCAACUGUCACCAUGAUUGAUUUCGUUGG
rnacentral:miRNA from 14 species